rnacentral:rRNA from 1 species
UACGUAGGGGGCAAGCGUUGUCCGGAUUUAUUGGGCGUAAAGAGCUCGUAGGCGGCUUGUCGCGUCGACUGUGAAAUCCCGCGGCUCAACUGCGGGUCUGCAGUCGAUACGGGCAGGCUAGAGUUCGGUAGGGGAGACUGGAAUUCCUGGUGUAGCGGUGAAAUGCGCAGAUAUCAGGAGGAACACCAAUGGCGAAGGCAGCUCGCUGGAACGGAACUGACGCUGAGGCGCGAAAGCGUGGGGAGCGAACAGG